CCUACGGUGAGCUGCAGUGAGGAAUAUUGGUCAAUGGACGGAAGUCUGAACCAGCCAUGCCGCGUGCAGGAAGACGGCUCUAUGAGUUGUAAACUGCUUUUGUACAAGGGUAAACCUGCAUACGUGUAUUCAGCUGAACGUACUGUACGAAUACGGAUCGGCUAACUCCGUGCCAGCAGCCGCGGUAAUACGGAGGAUCCAAGCGUUAUCCGGAUUUAUUGGGUUUAAAGGGUGCGUAGGCGGAUUGAUAAGUUAGAGGUGAAAUGUCCGGGCUUAACUCGGGCACUGCCUCUAAUACUGUUGAUCUAGAGAGUAGAUGCGGUAGGCGGAAUGUAUGGUGUAGCGGUGAAAUGCUUAGAGAUCAUACAGAACUCCGAUUGCGAAGGCAGCUUACUAAACUGCCACUGACACUGAUGCUCGAAAGUGUGGGUAUCAAACAGGAUUAGAUACCCCAGUAGUC
rnacentral:rRNA from 1 species